CAGCGAUUUGCAUAUAUGCCGAAGACAGCAGGUGCCAUGUGGCGUAAACGUAAGACGACCUGCCGAGGGGAUCUUUAUCAAGAUUUUUUUGACCGUAUCUCUCUGUCUUUGCAGGGAGUUUUUUAUUGCAGAUU
rfam:Roseburia intestinalis XB6B4 draft genome.